rnacentral:rRNA from 1 species
AUUGAACGCUGGCGGCAGGCCUAACACAUGCAAGUCGAGCGGAUGAAGGGAGCUUGCUCCUGGAUUCAGCGGCGGACGGGUGAGUAAUGCCUAGGAAUCUGCCUGGUAGUGGGGGAUAACGUCCGGAAACGGGCGCUAAUAACGCAUACGUCCUGAGGGAGAAAGUGGGGGAUCUUCGGACCUCACGCUAUCAGAUGAGCCUAGGUCGGAUUAGCUAGUUGGUGGGGUAAAGGCCUACCAAGGCGACGAUCCGUAACUGGUCUGAGAGGAUGAUCAGUCACACUGGAACUGAGACACGGUCCAGACUCCUACGGGAGGCAGCAGUGGGGAAUAUUGGACAAUGGGCGAAAGCCUGAUACAGCCAUGCCGCGUGUGUGAAGAAGGUCUUCGGAUUGUAAAGCACUUUAAGUUGGGAGGAAGGGCAGUAAGUUAAUACCUUGCUGUUUUGACGUUACCAACAGAAUAAGCACCGGCUAACUUCGUG